rnacentral:rRNA from 1 species
CCUACGGGAGGCAGCAGUGGGGAAUAUUGCACAAUGGAGGGAACUCUGAUGCAGCGACGCCGCGUGAGUGAAGAAGUAAUUCGUUACGUAAAGCUCUAUCAGCAGGGAAGAAAGUGACGGUACCUGACAAAGAAGCCCCGGCUAAAUACGUGCCAGCAGCCGCGGUAAUACGUAUGGAGCAAGCGUUAUCCGGAUUUACUGGGUGUAAAGGGAGAGUAGGUGGCAGCGCAAGUCCGAAGUGAAAAGCCAAAGCUCAACUAUGGGAAUGCUUUAGAAACUGCGCAGCUAGAGUGCAGGAGAGGUAAGUGGAAUUCUUGGUGUAGCGGUGAAAUGCGUAGAUAUUAGGAGGAACACCAGUGGCGAAGGCAGCUUACUGGCGUGUAACUGACACUGAGGCUCGAAAGCGUGGGGAGCAAACAGGAUUAGAUACCCUAGUAGUC